UACAGAGGGGGCAAGCGUUGUUCGGAAUUACUGAGCGUAAAGGGCGCGUAGGCGGCCCGCUAAGUCGAACGUGAAAUCCCCGAGCUCAACUCGGGAACUGCGUCCGAUACUGGCGGGCUUGAAUCCGGGAGAGGGAUGCGGAAUUCCAGGUGUAGCGGUGAAAUGCGUAGAUAUCUGGAGGAACACCGGUGGCGAAGGCGGCAUCCUGGACCGGCAUUGACGCUGAGGCGCGAAAGCUAGGGGAGCAAACGGG
rnacentral:rRNA from 1 species